GAAGGGAAAGGGUGCAUUCAACAUAAUUUUCAUUCAGAGAAGAGAUUUGAAAAUCGCAUCGCACAGAGAUGAAUUCAAUUACAAGAAGCGGAUCGCUAAGUAUCAUCCUCGUUGCUUUCUCUUUGCACUUCAUUCUUGGUUUUUCCGACGAGUCAGCUGGUUCUAAAGAUGCUACAAAGACAGAACCUCAUGCCGGCAGAAGCACUAGCACUGUAGUUAUCGUUGUAUUAAUUUUGCUUGUGCUCUUUUCUUUAUUCUCCUUUGUACUUUUUAAGCUGUGGCGGAAGAAGAAAAGGGAAGAGCAAUAUGCUCGUCUUUUGAAAUUGUUUGAAGAGGAUGAUGAGUUAGAGCUUGAGCUUGGCCUAAGGGACUGAGUCACUCACCUUUGCAAUUCACCAACAUCUUCAAGGCUUAUGCGAGUUUUUAUUAUUUUGAAAGGGGUUAUGCUAACAAGUGCAAGGACACUUGUUAAAAUUAAAAUAUCGAAAAUAUAUGAUGAAAUGCACACAAUUAAUAUAUUACAGUACUUUUAUUUUUAGAUCCUUAACAAUUGUCCUUGUAGCAUUCGUUAGCAUUUGCCUUUUAAAAAUUUUGUUGCUCGCCCAAGACGGAUACGACGUUGGACUUGUGAUGGAGUUAAGACUUUUGCGGAGACAAGAAUCAAUUGAUUGUUUGUAAUGCUAUUCAUUUAUUUGUCUUUUCAUAGAUAUUUGUUUAUCUAAAUGGUAGGAAAAGAGAAGGCUAAUUUGCACAUUGAUUGGAUGGUGUCAUCAAGAGUAUGAUACACCUGAAAUUUGUUGAUAUGUAUGAUACUGUAGUCUUGACAUGUUAUAGGUAAAUAUAUGAUGUCCAUGAAUGAAUGGCUUGUUAUAUUUCGAGGCA